ACUUACAUAAAGUCAGAAAGAUUCUUGCAGGAAAGCAAUGGCAGAUAAUGGAAGCGAGAAGGAUACAAACAAACCAUGGACCACUAGCAAAGAAUCUGAUCGAGAGCCAAAAGAUAUUGCUAAAGGACGCUAUGGUCUCCCUGAGAAAGCUACGGUAACGGUUGGGGUUACGAAAGAGAGAAUGCCAUUUGGUAAGAAGGAUGGAUUGAGCUAUAGCAGCAGUAGCAAGUGUACUAUUAGUUGAUGUCAUUACUGAACAAGAGCUUUUAGUGUAAAGCACCGAUGUUACUUAACUCUUGCUUCUUAGAAAAAGACUUUUUGAUCUCCUAGAUAACUAGUAGAGUUACAUUUGAAAGAUGCAUUAAAGAAGUGGAUGCGUCAUCCAAAUCUAUC